ensembl:snRNA
GUGUUGUAUGAACGGAGAGAAGUUUAGCACUCCCCUUGACAAGAAGGAAAAGGCCCUCCGGCCUGACAACACACAUAUAGUUAAAGCAUUGCCAUCUGCUUCAUGGCAUCUAACCAUUGUUUUUG